UACGUAGGGGGCAAGCGUUGUCCGGAUUUAUUGGGCGUAAAGCGCUCGCAGGCGGUCCGAUGCGUCGUGCGUGAAAGCCCCCGGCUCAACUGGGGAGGGUCGUGCGAUACGGUCGGACUUGAGGCCAGUAGGGGGAUGCGGAAUUCCGGGUGUAGUGGUGGAAUGCGUAGAGAUGCGGAGGAACACCGAUGGCGAAGGCAGGCCCCUGGGCUGACACUGAGGCACGAAAGCUAGGGGAGCAAACAGG
rnacentral:rRNA from 1 species